UACGUAGGCAGCGAGCGUUGUUCGGAGUUACUGGGCGUAAAGGGUGCGUAGGCGGUUGUUUAAGUUUGGUGUGAAAUCCCUCGGCUCAACCGGGGAACUGCGUCCGAUACUGGCGGGCUUGAAUUCGGGAGAGGGAUGUGGAAUUCCAGGUGUAGCGGUGAAAUGCGUAGAUAUCUGGAGGAACACCGGUGGCGAAGGCGGCAUCCUGGACCGACAUUGACGCUGAGGCGCGAAAGCCAGGGGAGCAAACGGG
rnacentral:rRNA from 1 species